CCUCCAUCAGGUCGUUCUGUCUGUCUCCGGGCAGAGGAAUGGCAUUCUUUUCUCUGCUGUACGACAGACCAUAAAUCCUGGUGAGUAUCGAUCCCAGUGGCCAAAGGCUGACAUUGCUUUGCCAAAGGGGAGUGCAGCAUGGCAUGUCGCUCCGGCACGGCGCGACGGAGAGGAGCUCUUAUUGAUUUCGCUCUGCGUCGCGAAGCCCUUCCCCUUUCCUGCAUUAAGGGCUAAUUUUAGGCUGAGAUGAUGUGAUAAUGGGGUUGUGCUCAUCGUGCUCCUCCACUGUCCCCACCUCUCCUGCUCUGUCCCCAGAGGCUCUGCAUCCCCUCUCUCUUCCAAAGAAAGCACCAGAAAUAUGGAGGAAAUGGAGCCCCAUCUCAUCGUGCCCUGCUCACCCCAACCUGCUCCAUCCUCACUGCUCUCCUGCUCCCCUUGCGCAAGGGCUGGAGCUUAAAUGCAGCUCCAGGAGGUGCAGAGGGGGAAAUGCUGCUCAUUGCUGUGGUUUUUCACAGCUCUGCCAACCAAUGGAGCAGCAAUCAGAUCCAGCUGUGACCCAAAGACAUUGCAUGGGUUGGUGCCAUCCUGACCACAACCAUGGGGGAUGCCCAAAGUCUGCAGAUCAAGGAGGGGGGGAAACGCAUCGCCUCCACUUUGCAGAGCUCUGAAAAACUUUGGCAUGGGAAUAUGGAACGUUGAGGCACUUGUCAUUGCUUGGACAGCAGAGGGACUUUAGCCAGACCUGGCAGUGCUUUGAGCCUGAGCUGAUGUAGGAAUCAGCACCGAAUGCUCCAACUUCAGCCACUGCUGAGCCAGAGCUGCGAACUUCUGCUCAGCUCUUUGAUUCCUUCUCCUGCAAACAGCUCCACGGAACAGCUCCGUUUGCAAUUUGAUCUGAGAACAGUUAAUUAUCGUUACUGGUAGGGCAUCAGAUGCUCCUGAUCUGUGGAAAUAACUUCAGAAACAAGGCUCUUUGUCAGGGAAUGGAGCGCAUCUGCUGUCCCAGACCUUCAAGUAUGGCAAAGAGGAACAUGACGGAAUGUCUUAAAGUACAUAGCUGGAGUCACUCUUCCAUUAAUAUCUUAUGC
rnacentral:lncRNA from 7 species